UAUCUACGUAUCUUACUCUCUCAAACUCCUUCACCUGAUCACCUCCCCCUACUGCGUCUCUAGCUUUCUCUUUAAUUAUUCUGUUUCAUCCUCGUGCGUUGAAGGCACUGGCGUCUGAUCCGGAUUUGAAGAAAGAAAGAGGCGCCGAAUGAACAGUUACUGAUUUUUUUGUGGUAUUGAUUCUUUGUGACAGGAAUUGUGCGUUAGCUAUGUAUUGGUGGAUCAGGGUCUGUCCGCAUAUGACGAAACACAUGUUUUGGUCCUUCAGUAUUGGAUUGAGGCUGCAAUCUUAUUAUUUCCUUUAUGCUCUGCAAGCUUUUUAAUCUUUUACUACAUUGUUUGUCAGCUGAUACUGGUCAACAAUUUUCCUACUGGUUAGUUUUUAUUUCUAGCUCACUUGCAUAUUUUAAAUUAUAUGACCCUUGGAUUCCUAGAUAAAGAUGGCGGCGCAAAUACGUCAAGUGAUACAAAGAAGAGCAUUGUAUAAGCAUAUAGUGCUGUCUGGAGGAUCAACCAUGUUUAAGGAUUUCCACAGAAGAUUACAGCGUGAUGUAAAAGAAGAUUGUCGAUGCUCGGGUCCUUGCAUCUGAUGGUCGAGUCAGUGAUGAAAUCAAAGUAAAUUUUUUGUCAUUCUUGUUUUGAGUGGAAAACCAAGACAGUAGAGAAACUCCUUCUUGGUCCAAAGAAGAGCCGACUGGAAACCAGGAAAUAUUGAGAAGCAAAAAGAUCAAGAAAUCCUUCGGGCUUCAACUGCAUGCAAUGCACAACAAUGGUCACAAAAUCUAUUUUAUAUAUAUAAUGCUGCAACAUGGGUUUUUGUUCGUGGCAGCAGGCAAUCUCCCUGAUAAAAUGGAUACGAGCCUCAUUAAAGGGUAUGAUUACAACAAUAAGUCAUAGGUCCGGUGUGGAUCUACAAAUAAAAGCUUUCUCUUUAUAUUAUAGUUGGAGAUAUUACUUCCACCAAAUUUAGGCGCAUGUGCAAGCACAUUAUAAGGAUCCUGGGACUUGGCACAUCACGAAAAUGGAAAUGAAAAUUGUGAGUAUACUACAGAAAGUUGGAAGACUUUGCUCCCACUUGAUAGUUCAUUUAGGUUUAUAAGAAUAUGACUUUGGCUAAUUCAGAGGCUCAUCAUUUGCAUGUAAAAAAUCUGAGAAGCCUUGUAAUAAUGAUGAGAUCAUCUGCAUCUUGAUAGCAAAGAUGAAUAUGAGCAUGAUUUGAAAGAGCCACCAAGCCCUGUCUACAAAUUCUCUCCUGACCUUCUUUAUGCCAAUUCCAAAAGGAAGAGGGGAUUUGGCUUGUUUUCAUGCUGCUUGAGGCCAUCUUGCGACACUGAGAAACCAGUGACAACUCAGAAGACUUGUUGAGAUGCAUCAUAUGCCUACAUGCAAAAAAAUGAUGCAGACAGCAUAUUGUGAACAAAACCAUUCUAAGCCUUUAUAUUUUGAUGCAGCGAUGGAUCAAAGAGCAGAGUUACCUGAGCAAUAAUGGUUAUGUCAAUUGUCAAGAAAGGAUGCUCCGGAAGUCAUGGCAGUACUAUUGAUGAUCGAGAGUUGGAACUUCUCUAUUUCAGCAAGGGGCCCUUCAACAGGAAUGCCAGCUGCGUGAUUAUCGAUAUCUGAGGAUGAAUUGUUGGAAAAAGCAACCGAUUCUGUGGACUUCUCCGAGUUUGCUCCUCAAGGGCCUUCACUCUUUCUUGAAGUUGUUUCAAGUACUUGAUAACGUCUCCUAGAACAGAAGCCUUGUCCAUCUGUUGCAGGGUGGAUCUGACAGAGUCGAUGUUCAAAAAAUGUGAAAAAAGAGAGAAGCUUCAAAAAAUAGCUCACAGAAUUGUAUGAUUAUCCCAAGUAUGAUGCUCCAUUUAGGGAAGGCGAGAAGUUCUUCUAUUUUCUUAACACCGGUCUUCAGGCUAAAAAAGUCCUCUAUAUGUAGUGUUUUGGGAUAGGGUGAUUGGACAACCAUAGAUUUUGCUUGAUCUGAGUGAACUCAGUGAGGAUGGAACAACGCAUUAAGUGUAUAUGCAGUAAGCAAGGAUGCUAAAUACUUGGCAUAUGCAUUCAAUUCAAUUGGAAGUGAUUAGGUGACUAUCAAAAUAAUGGGGGUUCAUGACAAAAAAGUUCACGAUGAUACUUUGUCAUGGGUAUGUAGUUUCAUUGGGUCUUCUGUACAAAACAGAAAUUGCUAUCUUAUUGGAGUCAUCCAGGAUGAGAAGCCAUGCGCCUAUUACAUGUGCACUGGAGCUUGUAAGUUUGGAAUUGCGUGCAAAUUUCAUCAUCCUCAACCGGAUCCUGCCGUUUCUGUUACUGGGCCUUCUCAUUACGGAUCUACUGAUUCAUCUGGUUAUCUUAUGGAGGUGGACUUCCUGCAUGGUCAUUCCCCAAAACAACAUACUUGUAUGCUCCUCAUUCAGGAGGUCCACAGACCUACUUGCCAGUUAUUUAUCCUCCCUCUCAAGGGAUGUUAUCUGCACCAGAAUGGAACACUUCUAUGGUUAGUAAGAGUUAAACUUGUAGUGAUUAUCUUAAGUUUAUCAAAGCACCAGCUCUCCCUUUGGACAUUCUGAUAUGUACAUUCAUACAAGUUUGUCGUAGACGCUUCUCUAGGUUAGAGUAGUAGGUUGAAUGGUUGCAAUGGUAUUUUCCUGUUUGGCUGUUCUCUCUCUGUUUUUACUACUAUAUAAUCAGAUGUAAUAUUCCUAAAACAUGGUCAGACUUAUACCAAGUCGUUUGUAUCUCAUCUAUUAUGUAUGACAUUCUUCCCACUGUUUGAAUAAUAAGACUUGCAUUUGUCAA